UACGUAGGGGGCAAGCGUUGUCCGGAAUCAUUGGGCGUAAAGCGCGUGUAGGCGGCUUUGCAAGUCGGGUGUGAAAGCCCUCAGCUCAACUGAGGAAGUGCGCCCGAAACUGCAGAGCUUGAGUGCCGGAGAGGGUGGCGGAAUUCCCCCAAGUAGAGGUGAAAUUCGUAGAUAUGGGGGAGGAACACCGGUGGCGAAGGCGGCCACCUGGACGGUAACUGACGCUGAGACGCGAAAGCGUGGGGAGCAAACAGG
rnacentral:rRNA from 1 species